rnacentral:rRNA from 1 species
GACGAACGCUGGCGGCGUGCUUAACACAUGCAAGUCGAACGGAAAGGCCCUGCUUUUGUGGGGUGCUCGAGUGGCGAACGGGUGAGUAACACGUGAGUAACCUGCCCUUGACUUUGGGAUAACUUCAGGAAACUGGGGCUAAUACCGGAUAGGAGCUCCUGCUGCAUGGUGGGGGUUGGAAAGUUUCGGCGGUUGGGGAUGGACUCGCGGCUUAUCAGCUUGUUGGUGUGGUAGUGGCUUACCAAGGCUUUGACGGGUAGCCGGCCUGAGAGGGUGACCGGCGACAUUGGGACUGAGAUACGGCCCAGACUCCUACGGGACGCAGCAGUGGGGAAUAUUGCACAAUGGGCGGAAGCCUGAUGCAGCAACGCCGCGUGCGGGAUGACGGCCUUCGGGUGGUAAACCGCUUUCGCCUGUGACGAAGCGUGAGUGACGGUAAUGGGUAAAGAAGCACCGGCUAACUACGUG